rnacentral:rRNA from 1 species
AUUGAACGCUGGCGGCAGGCAUUACACAUGCAAGUCGAACGAGUGGCGGACGGGUGAGUAAUGUCUGGGAAACUGCCUGUUGGAGGGGGAUAACUACUGGAAACGGUAGCUCAUACCGCAUCCCAUCGGAUGUGCCCAGAUGGGAUUAGGUAGUAGGGGGGGUAAAGGCUCACAUAGGCGACGAUCACUAGCUGGUUUGAGAGGAGGACCAGACACACUGGAAAUGAGACACGGUCCAGACUCCUACGGGAGGCAGCAGUGGGGAAUAUUGCACAAUGGGCGCAAGCCUGAUGCAGCCAUGCCGCGUGUAUGAAGAAGGCCUUCGGGUUGUAAAGUACUUUCAGCAGGGAAGCGUUACCCGCAGAAGAAGCACCGGCUAACUCCGUGCCAGCAGCCGCGGUAAUUC